rnacentral:rRNA from 1 species
AACGAACGCUGGCGGCGUGCCUAACACAUGCAAGUCGUGCGAGAAAGUUCCUUCGGGAGCGAGUAAAGCGGCGCACGGGUGAGUAACACGUAGGUAACCUGCCCCCCAGUCUGGAACAACUAGAGGAAACUCUAGCUAAUGCCGGAUGAGACCACGAUCCCUUCGGGGGUUGCGGCCAAAGAUGGCCUCUACUUGUAAGCUAUCGCUGAGGGAUGGGCCUGCGGGCCAUUAGCUUGUUGGUGAGGUAACGGGCUCACCAAGGCUGUGAUGGCUAGCUGGUCUGAGAGGAUGACCAGCCACACUGGGACUGAGACACGGCCCAGACUCCUACGGGAGCAGCAGUGGGGAAUAUUGCGCAAUGGGCGAAGCCUGACGCAGCGACGCCGCGUGGGUGAUGAAGGCCUUCGG